CCUACGGGAGGCAGCAGUAAGGAAUAUUGGACAAUGCUCGCAAGAGUGAUCCAGCCAUGCCGCGUGCAGGAAGAAUGCCCUAUGGGUAGUAAACUGCUUUUGAACUAGAGAAAAUCCCAGUACGUGUACUGGGCUGAUAGUAUAGUUAGAAUAAGCAUCGGCUAACUUCGUGCCAGCAGCCGCGGUAAGACGAAGGAUGCAAGCGUUAUCCGGAUUCAUUGGGUUUUAAAAGGGAGCGUAGGUGGACUGAUAAGUCAGUGGUGAAAUCUCCGAGCUUAACUCGGAAAUUGCCAUUGAUACUGUUGGUCUUGAGUACAGUUGCUGUGGGCGGAAUAUGACAUGUAGUGGUGAAAUACAUAGAGAUGUCAUAGAACACCGAUUGCGAAGGCAGCUCACAAAGCUGUAACUGACACUGAGGCUCGAAGUAGCGGGGAGUACAACAGAUAGAUACCUACGGUAGUCGCACCGUAACCGAAUAGAUUACUCGCUGCGUGGGGGCGGAACCGUUUAACGUUGGUCGUUAGUCGAAGACGAGUAAGUUAAUACCCACCCGUCGGGGAGGGUACGGCCCGGGCCGACCGGGUACGGAAACGUACGAAAGGAAAGUUAGGUUACGGCCGUUGGAGGACGUUGGCCGACGGGACGACCGACCGAGGGGAGGGUAGGGAG
rnacentral:rRNA from 1 species